rnacentral:hammerhead_ribozyme from 1 species
AUCCUGUUGACGAGUUCUAAAUAGGACGAAACGUGCGUUCCAGAU